UUUUAAUUGGAUUCAGCUUUGGUUACCAUGGAAACCGUCAGUGCAUCUGUCAAACCUCUCUGACUCUGAUGUUCGUGAAGAUGUCCAUUAACCUGCAAGGGUUGAUUAAUCUUCAUUCACACAUUAACGAUGGAGGAAUAUAGGGUAGAAGAGAAGAGUAACAUGAGCAGCAAAAUAACUUCAUCGGCAAAGAAACAGAUCUGCAAAAACCCAGAUAGACCUCAUGAUGAGGGUGAGGAGAGUAUUAAUAGAGGACAGCUGGAUCAACAUCAGCCUACCUGCAUUCUAGAGAGACCACACCGCUGUGACCAGUGUGGGAAAGGUUGCUGUCACUUCCUGAUCUCGAAGAUUCAUGAGCGUAUGCACACUGGUGAAAAGCCUUAAGUCUUUGACCAGUGUGGGAAAGGUUGCUGUCACUUCCUGAUCUCGAAGAUUCUUGAGCGUAUGCACGCUGGUGAAAAGCCUUACAUCUGUGACCAGUGUGGGAAACGUUUCUGUCGCUACGUGAUCUUGAAGAUUCAUCAGCGCACAGCGUGUUCACAUUGAAGAAAGCUCUUACAUCUGUGACGAGUGUGGGAGGGGUUUCAUGCACUUGUGCUCUUACAAGGCUCAUCAGCGUAUCCACACUGGAGAAAAGCAUCAUCAGUGCACUAACACAGUUUAGAAAGUAUAUUUGAACUGUAUUAAACAAUUGGCUGUUAAAAGA